GGGCAAGGUAUAGCUCAAUGGUAGAGCGCGUGCUUAGCAUGCACGAGGUCCUGGGUUCAAUCCCCAGCACCUCCA
rnacentral:tRNA from 1 species